rnacentral:rRNA from 1 species
UGGGGAAUCUUGGACAAUGGGGGAAACCCUGAUCCAGCCAUGCCGCGUGAGUGAUGAAGGCCUUCGGGUUGUAAAGCUCUUUCGCGCACGACGAUAAUGACGGUAGUGCGAGAAGAAGCUCCGGCUAACUUCGUGCCAGCAGCCGCGGUAAUACGAAGGGGGCUAGCGUUGUUCGGAAUUACUGGGCGUAAAGCGCGCGCAGGCGGUCUUACAAGUCAGAGGUGAAAGCCCGGAGCCUAACUCCGGAACUGCCCCUGAGACUGUUAGACUUCGAGUACGGGAGAGGUGAGUGGAAUUCCGAGUGUAGAGGUGAAAUUCGUAGAUAUUCGGAAGAACACCGGUGGCGAAGGCGGCUCACUGGCCCGUUACUGACGCUCAGGCGCGACAGCGUGGGGAUCAAACAGGAUUAGAUACCCCCGUAGUCC